ensembl:snRNA U6 U6 spliceosomal RNA
GAACUAGCUUUGGCAGCACGUAUACUGAAAUUGUAACAAUACAGAGAAGAUUACCAUGGUUCUUGAACAAGGAUGACAUGCAAAUUCCUGUAGUGUUCCACUUGUUU